rnacentral:rRNA from 1 species
UAGGGAAUCUUCGGCAGUGGGGGCAACCCUGACCGAGCAACGCCGCGUGAGUGAAGAAGGUUUUCGGAUCGUAAAGCUCUGUUGUAAGUCAAGAACGGGUGUGAGAGUGGAAAGUUCACACUGUGACGGUAGCUUACCAGAAAGGGACGGCUAACUACGUGCCAGCAGCCGCGGUAAUACGUAGGUCCCGAGCGUUGUCCGGAUUUAUUGGGCGUAAAGCGAGCGCAGGCGGUUUGAUAAGUCUGAAGUUAAAGGCUGUGGCUCAACCAUAGUUCGCUUUGGAAACUGUCAAACUUGAGUGCAGAAGGGGAGAGUGGAAUUCCAUGUGUAGCGGUGAAAUGCGUAGAUAUAUGGAGGAACACCGGUGGCGAAAGCGGCUCUCUGGUCUGUAACUGACGCUGAGGCUCGAAAGCGUGGGGAGCGAACAGG